rnacentral:rRNA from 1 species
GACGAACGCUGGCGGCGUGCUUAACACAUGCAAGUCGAACGGAAAGGCCCUGCUUUUGUGGGGUGCUCGAGUGGCGAACGGGUGAGUAACACGUGAGUAACCUGCCCUUGACUUUGGGAUAACUUCAGGAAACUGGGGCUAAUACCGGAUAGGAGCUCCUGCUGCAUGGUGGGGGUUGGAAAGUUUCGGCGGUUGGGGAUGGACUCGCGGCUUAUCAGCUUGUUGGUGGGGUAGUGGCUUACCAAGGCUUUGACGGGUAGCCGGCCUGAGAGGGUGACCGGCCACAUUGGGACUGGGAUACGGCCCAGACUCCUAAGGGGGGGAGGAGUUGGGAAUAUUGCACAAUGGGCGGAAGCCUGAUGCAGCAACGCCGCGUGCGGGAUGACGGCCUUCGGGUUGUAAACCGCUUUCGCCUGUGACGAAGCGUGAGUGACGGUAAUGGGUAAAGAAGCACCGGCUAACUACGU